AUUGAACGCUGGCGGAAUGCUUUACACAUGCAAGUCGAACGGUAGAGGGGGCAACCCCUCGAGAGUGGCGAACGGGUGAGUAAUAUAUCGGAACGUGCCCAGUCGUGGGGGAUAACGUAGCGAAAGUUACGCUAAUACCGCAUACGAUCUAAGGAUGAAAGCGGGGGAUCGCAAGACCUCGCGCGAUUGGAGCGGCCGAUAUCAGAUUAGGUAGUUGGUGGGGUAAAGGCUCACCAAGCCAACGAUCUGUAGCUGGUCUGAGAGGACGACCAGCCACACUGGAACUGAGACACGGUCCAGACUCCUACGGGAGGCAGCAGUGGGGAAUUUUGGACAAUGGACGCAAGGCUGAUCCAGCCAUUCCGCGUGCAGGAUGAAGGCCCUCGGGUUGUAAACUGCUUUCGUACGGAACGAAAAGGUCUCUCUUAAUACGGGGGGCUCAUGACGGUACCGUAAGAAUAAGCACCGGCUAACUACGUGCCAGCCGCCGCAGUAA
rnacentral:rRNA from 1 species